rnacentral:rRNA from 1 species
UACGGAGGGUGCAAGCGUUGUUCGGAAUUAUUGGGCGUAAAGGGCGCGUAGGCGGUUGUGAUAGUCAGAUGUGAAAUCCUCCGGCUUAACUGGAGAACUGCAUCUGAAACUUCAUAGCUAGAGUACAGGAGAGGGAAACGGAAUUCCCGGUGUAGAGGUGGAAUUCGUAGAUAUCGGGAGGAACACCAGUGGCGAAGGCGGUUUCCUGGCCUGAUACUGACGCUGAGGCGCGAAAGCGUGGGGAGCAAACAGGAUUAGAUACCCCGGUAGUCCCU